rnacentral:lncRNA from 1 species
ACUGAUUUUGAUUUGUUGGUAGGUGCACUCAUUGCGACAGUCUCCUUCACUGCAGGAAUUACAGUACCUGGAGGUUGCACAAGCGAUGGACCAUACAAAGGGACUGCGAUAUUAGCUAAGAAAGUUUCUAUUAAAAUUUUUUCGAUAUCAAAUACCAUUGCGUUAUUGCUCUCUCUUUAUGCUGUCUUUAGCCAUUUCUGCGUGAAACGUUUACGCAAGAAAGAGGAUAUCAUUUACCAACUUACUGUGGCAACAUAUUGCUCAUUUGGUGCUAUAUUUGCAAUGGUGGUUGCAUUUAUAACAGGUUCAUAUGUAGUACUGGCUGUUACAGAAGAAUUUUCUAUUACUAUAUGUGUACUUUGUUGUUGUUUCUUCAUUUUUGCAUUUCGCGCUCUGUGGAGGAUGCUAAUGCAAGACAGAUCUUCACUCUUUCGUGCUUAGAAACGCUUGGAUGUAACAGUGCCUAUUUUGUUAUUGUUGUCAAUUUAUGAAUUUUCUAAUGGAGAAGAACUUCCCAUCUUUCGUUAUCUACAAAGUACAAACCAAGACUUCCUACAAUACAAUAUACGUAUGAUAUCAUUGAACUUUUUUCAAUGGAUCUGAUAGGUCUGAAUAACACAAACACGGGUGUGCAACAAAGAUUAAAAUCUGCUCAUAUAAUCGCAUUGCCAUGCCCUCCCUCUCUCAAACAGAAUUCAGAAUCACUAAAGACGCAGACAGUAAGCUGCAGACCAUUUGAAUGCAUUGAAGUUAUCUAUACGUACCUUCUGAUAGAUAAUUUACAUAUUUUAUCAUUUGUAUAUGUUAUUGAGGUAUUUAUGUUUGGAAUUUUGCUUAUUGUUAUAACUAUUUAUUGUAUUGCUGUUGUCUGUUAUCAAGAAAAAUAUAUGUACUGUUAUCUAGCCGACGGAUUUGUUUGAUUUCUGAGAAAAUUGUAGUACGAGACGCUCUAGAAGCAUUUUGAGUUAGAUGAAUAAGUAUCUUUAUUAGUGUGAUUUUUGUUGCAAUUAGGGUUUUUUUUUUUUUUUUUUUUUUUCGGGUGAACCAAUUCGAUGUUGAUAUUAGAUCCCAGGUGUUGGAGAUUUUGAGUAGAGAAAUGUGAGAAACAUGUUUCAAACCUUUUUCCCUUCAAUUGGAGAGAAGAAAUAGAAGGCUUAGUUAGUGACUUGUAUGGAUUUCCUUUCUAGGAUGACUUCUUUGUUCAUUUCCCCUGUUAAAAUGAUAAAAAUCUGACCUAGAGACACAAACAAUGCUGACAUGAUGAAUGGAUUGUUUCGAGUCCUUUUUCAUUGCCCUUCUAGCAGGGAGGGAAUGACAGUUCAAUGUGUGGUGUCUAUGUAGCUAGAUACUGCUGAGUUGUAGCAAAUGUAGCCUAUGUUAUGCAGCCCUUUACUGAGGAGUGACCUUUCGAGGUAUAGCAUAUAAAGAAAACACCCAAUAGUUUUCCAAUUGAUCAUAAGCCCUUUUAUGUUGAUGCAUUCUUUCGCGACUCGUGAGCACUUGGAUCUACUCGCUCCUGAGUCCUGACAUCCCUUUGUAUUUUCAGAUGCAGAAAUGUCGUGGAUAGUAAAUGUGUGGAUCAUUGAGUUCCUUUGGGAGUGGGGGCAGACAAUUGGUGGAGGGAUGUUGGUAUUGGCGUGUAUCAGAAAUUUGGAUCUUAGGUGCAAAUGAUUUAUCUGAUAGGGAGGCGAUUUGCUAAACCUUGACACAGAGAUGUGGUUCUAACUAGUUUUCUUUGGUAUAUGGAGUUCGCAUCAAAUUUUCAGAUAAUGUACUGAAAUCAUUAAAUUCUUUUAACCCUAUAUGUUUUUUUUUCGAUCGGGUGCCUGGUGUUUGUAUUUUCUCAGCUAGUUCAGUUGAUAUCUUUGACUUGUCCCUUUUGAUUCAUUUUAAAUUGUUUUGCUAAGAUUAAAUACCUAGUCACAGUUACUGUUAGGGUUUACGACAUAUUAUUCACGACGUGGCUAAUUAUAUAUGGACUGUUUAAUUGCUUCGUAAGACUUGUUUCCUCUUUUGAUUGAAGGCGGAUGCCUUCAAAUCCAAUUGGGGUGCGGUCUCCUGCAACUGCGACUUGUGUUUCAGAGAUUACUGAUGCAUGCCCUUCAUAUCAGGAAUGACUGUAUUUUCUUUUCCUUCAGUUAAUAUGUUCCAUGUGUAUCUGUUAUGUGUGAAUUUUAGUGUAUCUGAGUGUACCUACCUGUCAUACAAAUUAGGAAAGCACUUGAAAGUACAGCGUUGGACCGCAAUGGCACAAUUCUACCACUCUCCCGUCAGUGAGUAUGAUAACAAGUUUGAAGUGAUGGGAGGUUUCAUACUUAGAUUUCAUCAUUUUCUCCGAGAUUUAGUAGCCAUCUGCUUAGUCUUGGCAGCCAUUACAUGGGAGAAGACAUAGACUAUUUUUGUACCAUGAUAUGAUUUGAUCAGCUAGUUUGCAAUGGACGGCUUUAUCUAGAUACCAGAAAUUGUGUGGGCAAUUCACCAGACAUUUCCAUUGUAUUAAUCUAGCCGUGAUUCACAGAGAAAUUUGUACUCUGGAUUGGUGCAGGGUUGACAUGUUCAAAGAGGAAUCUUUUUGCUUUGAUUAUCAGGGGAGGUCUUAGAGGUUAAAAAUUAUUAGUUUUCUUUCGACAGGAUAGACUGGUUUGUUCUCUGGAUUAGAACAGUUCUCGACAGCAUUUUACACUGACAACUAGUUUCUUUGCUUCCAGCUCUGUACCUAACUUGUCUGCACAUUUGUUAGAAAUUAGACAUUUUGUUUUUCCAUCUGAGCCAGGAAAAUCAAUAUUCUUUUGCAAACGUUAUUGUCACCCCAACCAGGAACUAAAGGCCAACAUCUACGUUUUGUUCUAUAAUUUUCCCAUGUAUUUUAUUUUCAGUCUAUGUGUAUCUGUGUCUUUUGGGCUUAUGUCUCGCCGAUGGAGUGGGGUUGAUGCAGGUAGAAUUUACAAGUGAAAAUACCGUCAGUUGAAAUAGGUAGAAUCAUAAGAUUGAACACUUCAUUGUCGAUUAGGAGGAGAGAUUGAUAGAUGGUGAUUGAUGGAAGUAUGAAACAUCUCAGACUAAGCUACCUAACCUUUUCCAUAGAGAAUUUGAACUUUUGAAAAUAGGCUAGAGACAGAAACAAAGCAGGCAUUGGAAAUACAGUAUAUACAUCUGUUUUCAAGUUGGAUGUCAACAAUUAGCAUGUCUUGUCAGAUAAUUCAUGUCCAACACAAGUUUUUUAACUUUGGUGAACCCCUUCAUCAGUACCAUGUCAACCAGAGAGAAAAUAUAUGGAAUGGAAGUUUAACUAACUGCGUGAGGGAGCUAUGACAACAUACUGUUGUGUUGAAGGCGGACAUGGCCUAACAUCUGUGAACCAUAUGAAAGAACACCUUGCCAACCUAUUUUGAAGUGAAGUACAUGAACUUCCACUGGUAGACAAAACAGGAUGCAGGUCUGUUUAGCACUUUAGCAUUUCUAUGGAAUAAUAACAAUAAAAAGUUUCCUCACCUAAUUUGUUUGUGAUUUUCUCAUCUUCCAAAUAUACCCAUAAAUAAUUCUCAGUCUCGAAUGUUUUUGGUUAUUUCAUUGGAAAACUAUGAGCUGUGUUUGAUUUGCAGGUUUUAGAACCGACGUUGUUCCACAUGGCAAGAUUGGUGCGAAAGAUGACCUUGAAUCUCUUUGGACCAAAGUUGCACUGUCCAUGUCAAUUUUAGGUCACUUCUAUUAAACAAAACUAAAUCGAAAAAAAUAAAAUAAAAAAAUAGGUUGAUUUUAGUUUUGUUUAAUAAAAAUGACAUUGGCACCAUGUAACUUUCGACCAAUGAGAUUCAAGGUCAGCGUCCGCAUGAAUCAUGCCGUGUCGAACAAAGAAGUCAGACUGGAUUCCUUUAGCAACGGCCAACUAGCCUGAAAAGUACACGAAAAUUAUAGUGCCUAUAUGCCAGCAUAAGUAUUGAUUUUACUCACCAUUCAAGCCGUUUGUCCUUGUUGAAGUCUUUUUAGUUAUACUCUUGUAUAAUAAAGACCUUACCAAAACAAAUGAAUCCAAUCUCUGCAGCAAAGAAUGCCGACGUGAACUUUUUUAGGCAAGUUGAAUUAGAUGUUCUCCAUGACUUCAGAGAUGAAAAUGGUCGUUCAGCUUUUUCCAUUGCAACUAUUGAAGGUUAUUUGACUUCAUCAAAAGAAAAAAAAGAAAGUUAUUUAAAGUGUCGUGAAGAGAUCUUGAAGAGAUGGCCUUCAUUGAUAUAUCAAAGCAACAAAUCUGGUGCCACUCCACUGCAUGAGGCAGCAUACAACGAUGACCAUGCAACCAUUAAGUUGCUUAUUAGUACUGCUAAUGCUAAUGCUAAUGCUACUACAAGGGAACAAAUUGGAGACAUUGAAAGUGGUAUCACAACACAGAAUACUAGAAACCUGUUGACAAUGGUGGAUUUCUCCAAGUUGACGGCUUUGCACAAUGCAGUGACACAAGCAAACCUUGAGUCAGCAAAAUUGUUGAUUCAAGCAGACCCAAGUCACGAGCUGUUGAGGAUGGUUGAUAAAAAUGGGAAUACAGCUCUGCACACUGCUGUGGAAAAGCACAAUCUUGGUUUAGUCAAUUUAUUGGCUGAAGCCGACCCUGGUUUUGAGUACUGUGCUAAUGAAUCUGGUAACACCCCACUUUUUAUAGCUUUCCAAGAAGCCCUCACAGGCGAUGAGACAAGAGGUAAAGUUACAUACUGUAUUUCUCUUCUCAUUAAUUAACUUGAUGAAUUGGAUUCAGAAGUACAAAACCAGUCCCUGAACUGAAAGUUUUGUCUUCAUUUCCCUUUUGAUUUUUAGUUUCAAUACUUCAUGAAUUUGUUAUUUUUUCAGUGGAAAUUAGGAAGCUGCUAACAGAGAAGCAAUCAAGUCAAUGUAAAGUACGCAUAGGGCGAAAUCAGUGGACCUUACUUCACCAUGCUACAUGUAAAGGAAAUUUAAGUGCCAUUGAAGAUAUUCUUCAGUUCUGCCCAGAAUGUUUGUAUCUUGUCGACAAUGAUCUUCAAAAUUGUUUACAUCUUGACGUUAAGUUUGAACAUGUUAAUGUGGUAAAUCACUUAUUGGGAAUGCCUACGAUUGCUGAUGAAGUCUUGAAUGGGCAAGACAAGCACGGGAACACUCCUUUGCAUAUUGCCGCAGAAAAUCAAAGGAUUGCAUUACUUUUCCUUUAUAAUACUAGGGUGGACAAGACGAUUAUAAAUAUGCAAGGUCUAAGGGCUGUAGAUAUGGUAAGCCUUUUUACAUUUUUUACACAGAUACAUAAGCUAAGUAGGCGGAUACAAGAUUUAGCAACUCUAAUUAAUUUUGUCCCUUCUCUUUGAAGAUAAACUUUGAGUAUGACAAGAGGAGAGCUGGAGUUUAUGGCGUUACAGAUAGAGUGGGCGAAAAAGAAAUUAAGGAUCAAACUGAUUUUGAUUUGUUGGUGGGUGCACUCAUUGCGACAGUCACCUUCACUGCAGGAAUUACAGUACCUGGAGGUUACACUAGUGAUGGACCAAACAAAGGGACUGCGAUAUUAGCUAAGGAAGUAUCUUUUAAAAUUUUUUCGAUAUCAAAUACCAUUGCGUUAUUGCUCUCUCUUUAUGCUGUCUUUAGCCAUUUUUGCGUGAAACGUUUAAGCAAGAAAGAGGAUAUCAUUUACCAACUUAAUGUGGC